UCCCCUGUAGCUCAACGGUAGAGCGGCUCGCUGUUAACGAGAAGGUUGUAGGUUCGAAUCCUACCGGGGGAGCAA
rnacentral:tRNA from 1 species